CUACGGGCCGCAGCAGUGAGGAAUAUUGCGCAAUGGAGGAAACUCUGACGCAGCCAUGCCGCGUGAGUGAAGAAGGCCUUAGGGUUGUAAAGCUCUUUCAACGGUGAAGAUAAUGACGGUAGCCGUAGAAGAAGCCCCGGCUAAAUUCGUGCCAGCAGCCGCGGUAAUACGAAUGGGGCAAGCGUUGUUCGGAAUCACUGGGCUUAAAGCGUGCGCAGGCGGACAUGAAAGUCAGGAGUGAAAUCCCAGGGCUCAACCCUGGAACUGCUUUUGAAACUCCAUGUCUAGAAUCCGGUAGAGGUUAGUGGAAUUCCGGGUGUAGAGGUGAAAUUCGCAGAUAUUCGGAGGAACACCAGUGGCGAAGGCGACUAACUGGACCGGUAUUGACGCUCAGGCACGAAAGCGUGGGGAGCAAACAGGAUUAGAUACCCCGGUAGUC
rnacentral:rRNA from 1 species